GAUGAACGCUGGCGGCGUGCUUAACACAUGCAAGUCGAACGGUGAAGCAGGAGCUUGCUCUUGUGGAUCAGUGGCGAACGGGUGAGUAACACGUGAGCAACCUGCCCCUGACUCUGGGAUAAGCGCUGGAAACGGCGUCUAAUACUGGAUAUGUGAUGUGACCGCAUGGUCUGCAUCUGGAAAGAAUUUCGGUUGGGGAUGGGCUCGCGGCCUAUCAGCUUGUUGGUGAGGUAAUGGCUCACCAAGGCGUCGACGGGUAGCCGGGCUGAGAGGGUGACCGGCCACACUGGGACUGAGACACGGCCCAGACACCUCCGGGCGGCAGCAGUGGGGAAUAUUGCACAAUGGGCGGAAGCCUGAUGCAGCAACGCCGCGUGAGGGGUGACGGCCUUCGGGUUGUAAACCUCUUUUAGCAGGGAAGAAGCGAAAGUGACGGUACCUGCAGAAAAAGCACCGGCUAACUACGUGCCAGCCGCCGCGGUAA
rnacentral:rRNA from 1 species